rnacentral:rRNA from 1 species
AGAGUUUGAUCAUGGCUCAGAUUGAACGCUGGCGGCAGGCCUAACACAUGCAAGUCGAGCGGUAGCACAAGAGAGCUUGCUCUCUGGGUGACGAGCGGCGGACGGGUGAGUAAUGUCUGGGAAACUGCCUGAUGGAGGGGGAUAACUACUGGAAACGGUAGCUAAUACCGCAUAACGUCUUCGGACCAAAGUGGGGGACCUUCGGGCCUCACGCCAUCAGAUGUGCCCAGAUGGGAUUAGCUAGUAGGUGGGGUAAUGGCUCACCUAGGCGACGAUCCCUAGCUGGUCUGAGAGGAUGACCAGCCACACUGGAACUGAGACACGGUCCAGACUCCUACGGGAGGCAGCAGUGGGGAAUAUUGGACAAUGGGCGCAAGCCUGAUGCAGCCAUGCCGCGUGUGUGAAGAAGGCCUUCGGGUUGUAAAGCACUUUCAGCGAGGAGGAAGGGUAGUGUGUUAAUAGCACAUUGCAUUGACGUUACUCGCAGAAGAAGCACCGGCUAACUCCGUGCCAGCAGCCGCGGUAAUACGGAGGGUGCAAGCGUUAAUCGGAAUUACUGGGCGUAAAGCGCACGCAGGCGGUUUGUUAAGUCAGAUGUGAAAUCCCCGCGCUUAACGUGGGAACUGCAUUUGAAACUGGCAAGCUAGAGUCUUGUAGAGGGGGGUAGAAUUCCAGGUGUAGCGGUGAAAUGCGUAGAGAUCUGGAGGAAUACCGGUGGCGAAGGCGGCCCCCUGGACAAAGACUGACGCUCAGGUGCGAAAGCGUGGGGAGCAAACAGGAUUAGAUACCCCGGUAGUCC